rnacentral:SRP_RNA from 1 species
GGGACCGGCGCGGCGGAGACUAUCGAACCUUGUCAGGUCCGAGAGGAAGCAGCAAUAAGGUAGUUCUUCCGGGCGCCGCCGGC